GACGAACGCUGGCGGCGUGCUUAACACAUGCAAGUCGAACGGAAAGGCCCUGCUUUUGUGGGGUGCUCGAGUGGCGAACGGGUGAGUAACACGUGAGUAACCUGCCCUUGACUUUGGGAUAACUUCAGGAAACUGGGGCUAAUACCGGAUAGGAGCUCCUGCUGCAUGGUGGGGGUUGGAAAGUUUCGGCGGUUGGGGAUGGACUCGCGGCUUAUCAGCUUGUUGGUGGGGUAGUGGCUUACCAAGGCUUUGACGGGUAGCCGGCCUGAGAGGGUGACCGGCGACAUUGGGACUAAGAGACGGCCCAGAGUCCUACGGGAGGCAGCAGUGGGGAAUAUUGCACAAUGGGCGGAAGCGUGAUGCAGCAACGCCGCGUGCGGGAUGACGGCCUUCGGGUUGUAAACCGCUUUCGCCUGUGACGAAGCGUGAGUGACGGUAAUGGGUAAAGAAGCACCGGCUAACUACGUG
rnacentral:rRNA from 1 species